CCUACGGGUGGCAGCAGUGAGGAAUAUUGGUCAAUGGCCGGAAGUCUGAACCAGCCAAGCCGCGUGAGGGAGGAAGGCGCAGAGCGUCGCAGACCUCUUUUGCCGGGGGACAAAGUGCCGGACGGGUCCGGUUCUGAGGGUACCCGGAGAAAAAGCAUCGGCUAACUCCGUGCCAGCAGCCGCGGUAAUACGGAGGAUGCGAGCGUUAUCCGGAUUCAUUGGGUUUAAAGGGUGCGCAGGCGGGCCUUUAAGCCGGGGGUGAAAUUGCGGGGCUCAACCCGCCGAGCGGUCGGAACUGGGGGUCUUGAGUGCAGCGGAGGCAUGCGGAAUGCGCGGUGUAGCGGUGAAAUGCAUAGAUAUCGCGCAGAACCCCGAUUGCGAAGGCAGCGUGCCGUGCCGCAACUGACGCUGAGGCACGAAAGCGCGGGGAUCGAACAGGAUUAGAUACCCCAGUAGUC
rnacentral:rRNA from 1 species